rnacentral:rRNA from 1 species
UACGAAGGGGGCUAGCGUUGCUCGGAAUCACUGGGCGUAAAGGGUGCGUAGGCGGGUCUUUAAGUCAGGGGUGAAAUCCUGGAGCUCAACUCCAGAACUGCCUUUGAUACUGAGGAUCUUGAGUUCGGGAGAGGUGAGUGGAACUGCGAGUGUAGAGGUGAAAUUGUAGAUAUUCGCAAGAACACCAGUGGCGAAGGCGGCUCACUGGCCCGAUACUGACGCUGAGGCACGAAAAGCGUGGGG